CCCUUAGAUGUUCGGGGCCGCACGCGCGCUACACUGAAGGAAUCAGCACGUCUUUCUCCUUGUCCGAAAGGACUGGGUAACCCGCUGAACCUCCUUCGUGCUAGGGAUUGGGGCUUGUAAUUCUUCCCCAUGAACGAGGAAUUCCCAGUAAGCGCGAGUCAUAAGCUCGCGUUGAUUACGUCCCUGCCCUUUGUACACACCGCCCGGCGCUACUACCGAUUGGAUGGUUUAGUGAGAUCCUCGGAUUGGUCCCGGCGCGGCCUCUGGUCGUGCCGGAGUGCCGAAAAGAAUGUCGAACUUGAUCAUCUAGAGGAAGUAAAAGUCGUAACA
rnacentral:rRNA from 1 species